GCCUGGGUGGCUGAGUCGGUUAAGCAUCUGACUUCGGUUCAAGUCAUGAUCUCACAGUUCGUGGGUUCAAGCCCCGCAUCAGGCU
rnacentral:tRNA from 1 species